CAGUCGCCACGGUAACACGUAGGGUGCGAGCAUUAAUCGGAAUUACUGGGCGUAAAGCGUGCGCAGGCGGUUGUGUAAGACAGGUGUGAAAUCCCCGGGCUUAACCUGGGAACUGCGCUUGUGACUGCACAGCUAGAGUAUGGCAGAGGGGGGUGGAAUUCCACGUGUAGCAGUGAAAUGCGUAGAGAUGUGGAGGAACACCGAUGGCGAAGGCAGCCCCCUGGGCCAAUACUGACGCUCAUGCACGAAAGCGUGGGGAGCAAACAGGAUUAGAUACCCGUGUAGUCCCUGUCUCUUAUAA
rnacentral:rRNA from 1 species